rnacentral:rRNA from 1 species
AGUAGGGAAUAUUGCACAAUGGGCGAAAGCCUGAUGCAGCAACGCCGCGUGCGCGAUGAAGGCCUUCGGGUCGUAAAGCGCUUUUCGGGGAGAUGAGGAAGGACAGUAUCCCCGGAAUAAGUCUCGGCUAACUACGUGCCAGCAGCCGCGGUAACACGUAGGAGGCAAGCGUUAUCCGAAUUUACUGGGCGUAAAGCGCGUGCAGGCGGUUCGGUAAGUUGGAUGUGAAAUCUCCUGGCUCAACUGGGAGAGGUCGUUCAAUACUGUCGGACUAGAGGAUGGUAGAGGGAGGUGGAAUUCCCGGUGUAGUGGUGAAAUGCGUAGAUAUCGGGAGGAACACCAGUGGCGAAAGCGGCCUCCUGGACCAUUCCUGACGCUCAGACGCGAAAGCUAGGGGAGCGAACGGGAUUAGACACCCCGGUAGUCCUAGCUGUAAACGAUGUGGACUUGGCGUCGGUGGGGUAAAAGCCAUCGGUGCCGGAGCUAACGCGGUAAGUCCACCGCCUGGGGACUACGGCCGCAAGGUUAAAACUCAAAGGAAUUGACGGGUCCCCGCACAAGCAGCGGAGCGUGUGGUUUAAUUCGAUGAUACACGAAAAACCUUACCCGGGUUUGACAUAUAAGUAGUAGGGAUCUGAAAGGUGACCGACCCUUCGGGGAGCUUAUACAGGUGCUGCAUGGCUGUCGUCAGCUCGUGCCGUGAGGUGUCCGGUUAAGUCCGGUAACGAGCGCAACCCUCACUGUAUGUUACAAGUGUCAUACGGAACUGCCGGUAUCAAGCCGGAGGAAGGUGGGGAUGACGUCAAGUCAGCAUGGCCUUUAUAUCCGGGGCUACACACACGCUACAAUGGCCAGUACAAUAGGUUUGCAAGACCGUAAGGUGGAGCCAAUCCUUAAAGCUGGUCUCAGUUCAGAUUGUAGGCUGCAACCCGCCUACAUGAAGUCGGAGUUGCUAGUAACCGCAGGCCAGCCAUACUGCGGUGAAUACGUUCUCGGGGAUUGUACACACCGCCCGUCACGUCAUGGGAGCUGACAACACCUGAAGCCGGUAUCCUAACCGCAAGGAGGGAGCUGUCGAAGGUGGGGUUGGUGACUGGGACG